AUUGAACGCUGGCGGCAGGCCUAACACAUGCAAGUCGAACGAGUGGCGGACGGGUGAGUAAUGUCUGGGAAACUGCCGGAUGGAGGGGGAUAACUACUGGAAACGGUAGCUAAUACCGCAUACCAUCGGAUGUGCCCAGAUGGGGUUGGCUAGGAGGUGGGGUAAAGGCUCACCUAGGCGACGAUCCCUAGCUGGUCUGAGAGGAUGACCGUCCAGACUGGAACGGAGCCACGGUCCAGACUCCUACGGGAGGCGGCAGUGGGGAAUAUUGCACAAUGGGCGCAAGCCUGAUGCAGCCAUGCCGCGUGUAUGAAGAGGGCCUUCGGGUUGUAAAGUACUUUCAGCGGGGAGGCGUUACCCGCAGAAGAAGCACCGGCUAACUCCGUGCCAGCAGCCGCGGUAAUUC
rnacentral:rRNA from 1 species